rnacentral:lncRNA from 1 species
AACAAGAUCACCAUCACCAACGACAAGGGGCGGCUGAGCAAGGAGGAGAUCGAGAAGAUGGUGCAGGAGGCGGAAAAGUACAAGGCGGAGGACGAGGAGCACAAGAAGAAGGUGGACGCCAAGAACGCCCUGGAGAACUACGCCUACAACAUGCGCAACACCAUCAAGGACGACAAGAUCGCCUCCAAGCUGGGCGCCGACGACAAGAAGCGCAUCGAGGAGGCCAUCGACGGCGCCAUCAGCUGGCUGGACAGCAACCAGCUCGCGGAGGCGGACGAGUUCGAGGACAAGAUGAAGGAGCUGGAGGGCAUCUGCAACCCCAUCAUCGCCAAGAUGUACCAGGGCGCCGGCGCGGACAUGGGCGGCGCAGCGGGCAUGGACGAGGACAUUCCGGCCGGCGGCAGCAGCGGCGCUGGACCCAAGAUCGAGGAGGUGGACUAAGCUGUCUGCUUGGUGAUUGGUGGAUGCCUGGAUGGGUUCCGAGCUACGUGAUGCUUCCACCUGUGUGUUUCGCCGCUCGCUCGUGUUGUCUUGGUAGUUUCUGUCGUGGUCGUGUCAAUGGUGG